GUUUUAUCUGAAGCAGGGAGAUCAUUCCACAGAACAGGUGCAUGAUAAGAGAAGGGUCCGUGGCCGACAGACUUUAUAUUCACCCUAGGGUCCCAAAGUAGUCCUGAGAAUGCAGAGCCCAGGCCGGUACGUAGGGUUUAAUUAGGUCAGCUAAGUAGGGAGGUGAGAGUCCAUUAAUA